CUUGUUUCUGGAAGGUUUCCAAGGACAGAGGCUGAACUAUUACUGAAGUCACAGGAAAGAAAGAGACUCACAGAGCCAGGAAAUGGUCACUAACUUGUCUUCUUGCUCUUGCCCUGAAGUGUGCUGGAGCCAUACCCUGCUGAGUCUCCAAAAGGAGGAUUUCUCAGAGGGAAGGUGCAGGUGGAACUACAGAGUGAGAAGGUCAUAAGUCUCACUUGGUGUGAGUCACUCACUCAGGAGGCCCAGAGAACAAGGUUGGAGGAUGGGACUUGGAAGGCCAAGGCAUUGGUUCAGUCCUAAGAAAACAGUCCUAGGCUUUUAGGACUGCUGCAUGCUAGGCACCAAUGCCUACCUGGGAAAUCUUGACUCACCUGAUUUGCAUUUCUCUGCUCUGCUAAUGCCAAGCCCUCAGGUCCCAGGAGGCCUGGGACAAGUCUACUUUUUGAAGACUUUUUUGCAGAUCUCACUGGAAACCUUGCUUUGCCAAGGAGCCAGGCCUUCUAGCUAAUCAUCAGGCAACAGCUAGCUAUCUCACGGAAGAUAAAGACAAGAAGCCAUUCGAAAGCAUUAUCUUCUAGUAAUUGCAUUUCAAAACAAGGAGGAAACCACAGCUCAAAUGUGAGCCAGUGUUCAGCAACCUGAGUUCCCAUGAAGACAAGCAAGAAGAGACUUUACACAAUUCUAUGGUCUUCCCCUUUUGAUUUCUAAGCAGUUUACUCUUCCUGACUCUACCACCCAGGGAGGGAAAGGUUAUUCUGGUGGAACACUGAGUAGUAAAGACAAAGCCACUGAAUGAUUUGGUCAAAGCUGAUAUGCCAAGGCAGCAUCUGGCAGCAAUUCUUGCCUCCAAAUUCUGUUCUUGAACUUUUGUUUUGCGUAAAUGUCAGGUAUUUUCUAUACCUGAGAUGGCAUAGAAAAUGCAGAGCUCUAAUCUCCUUGGGCCUCUAAGUAAGCCUUGCAUUCGGGGAUGGGUUUGGGGCAGUGGGUUUGGGUAAGAUCCCUGUAACCCUGGCCCAUUUUACAGACACCUAUAUAUAACACCUUUUUUUUUUUUUGGUGGGGUUGGGGGAUAAGUGAGAAAGGAAGAGAGAGGAAAGAAUAGGUAGAGAAAGGUGCAGAAACUCAGGCUAGGCUGGGAGACAGUUGAAAGGUGUGGCUGUACUGAAAGCAAUCAGGAAUUAGAUCCUGACUUUCCAGUAAGAUUAACUACAGACAGAAGCAGAUGCUGAGUCUACUUGAAGUAACAAUGUCAUGUGCAAAUCUGUGGAAAGCACGCAAGCGCGCGCGCACACACACACACACACACACACACACACUCGUCUCAUCCUCUUAACUAUUGAGAGUGUAGGGAAAUAUGAGUUUUCAUACCCUGCUGGUAGGAAUGUAAAUUGGAAACACUUUGCUGGUUGGGACUUGCUUAUGUUUGAAGCAGACAAUGGACAAUGCUGGCUCUGUGUUCACCAAACCCUUCUUGUGCAUACACAAAAAAGACUACAUUUCCCACCCUCCCUUGAGGUUAGCAGUGGUCAUGUUACUGAGUUCCAGACAGUUGGAAGGUGGGUAGAGAAGUGAUGUGAGUCACUUCCAGGCCUGGCCUUAAAACCAGCUUAGAAUCUUCACACUCUUUCUCCCUUUACAUAACAACUGAAAUCAGACGAUCCAGUGGAGCAUUCCAGGGCUUUGGCAAAUGGGAAGCCAUUCUAUGACCAAUCCCUGGUUCCAGACAGAUGUGCAGAGCACUCUCCCAUCCCAACCAGGUGACCUUCAUUUGAGCUAUAAUAGAGAAAUAAGUCUUUAUUAUGUUAAACUACUGAGGUCUGGAGGUUUUUAUUAUAACAUUUAGACUAUCCUGAAUGGUGUAGUAUCACAAUUCUUAAAAAUGUCAUAAGUUUUGCCCUAGCAAUAAACAUUCUUUGAAACAUACUCUAAGAAAAUAAUUAAGGGUACUCACUACUGUAUUGAUUAUAACAGCAAAAGUAAAUAAAUAAAUAAAUAAAUAAAAAUCCAACAACAUGAAUUUCAAAUCAUAGAAGAUUAAUUAAAUUAAAUAAUACAGCCCUGUACAGGAAUAUUAUUCAGACAUUUUAAUAUCACUGAAAUGUAUUUAUUGACAUGUCAUGCUAUAGUAUUACUUGAAAAAGGGCAAGUAUCAAAACAGCUUAGAGAGUAUGAACCUAUAUUUAUUUAUGUAUGUCAAUAUAUGAAUAGAAAAAGUCUCAAUCUAUACCAGAAACAGGGAUUAUUUCUAUUAAUAGGAUUAUAGGUGGCUUUGUAAAAAAGUAUUUCUAUUCUGCAGUUUUAUGCUUUUUCUUUCUUUCUUUUCUUUUUGCAUUGAUGGGGAUUGAACCCCAGAACCUUGCACAUGCUAGGCAAGUGCUCUCCAACUGAGCUACAUUCUGAUGAGUCUGUCCUUCCUUCCUCUUCCUUCCUUCCCUCCCUCUCUCCCUCCCUCCCUCCCUCCCUUCCUUCCUUCCUUGACAAUGUCUUGCUAAAUUGUUCAGACUGGUCUCAAACUUGUCAUCCUCCUGCCUCAGCCUCCUGAGUAGCUGGGAUUAAAGGCAUGUAUCCCUGA